AACGAACGCUGGCGGCAUGCCUAACACAUGCAAGUCGAACGAGACCUUCGGGUCUAGUGGCGCACGGGUGCGUAACGCGUGGGAACCUGCCCUUAGGUUCGGAAUAACUCCCCGAAAGGGGUGCUAAUACCGGAUAAUGUCUUCGGACCAAAGAUUUAUCGCCUUUGGAUGGGCCCGCGUUGGAUUAGCUAGUUGGUAGGGUAAAAGCCUACCAAGGCGACGAUCCAUAGCUGGUCUGAGAGGAUGAUCAGCCACACUGGGACUGAGACACGGCCCAGACUCCUACGGGAGGCAGCAGUGGGGAAUAUUGGACAAUGGGCCAAAGCCUGAUCCAGCAAUGCCGCGUGAGUGAUGAAGGCCUUAGGGUUGUAAAGCUCUUUUAACCGGGAUGAUAAUGACAGUACCGGGAGAAUAAGCACCGGCUAACUCCGUG
rnacentral:rRNA from 1 species